UACGGAGGGUCCAAGCGUUAUCCGGAAUCAUUGGGUUUAAAGGGUCCGUAGGCGGUUUUGUAAGUCAGUGGUGAAAGCCCAUCGCUCAACGGUGGAACGGCCAUUGAUACUGCAAGACUUGAAUUAUUAGGAAGUAACUAGAAUAUGGUAGUGUAGCGGUGAAAUGCUUAGAGAUUACGAUGGAAUACCAAUGCGAAGGCA
rnacentral:rRNA from 1 species